rnacentral:rRNA from 1 species
AUUGAACGCUGGCGGCAGGCUUAACACAUGCAAGUCGAACGGUAACAGGGUGCUUGCACCGCUGACGAGUGGCGAACGGGUGAGUAAUGCGUCGGAACGUGCCGAGUAGUGGGGGAUAACGCAUCGAAAGGUGUGCUAAUACCGCAUACGUACUGAGGUAGAAAGUGGGGGACCUUCGGGCCUCACGCUAUUCGAGCGGCCGACGUCUGAUUAGCUAGUUGGUGAGGUAAAGGCUCACCAAGGCGACGAUCAGUAGCGGGUCUGAGAGGAUGAUCCGCCACACUGGGACUGAGACACGGCCCAGACUCCCACGGGAGGCAGCAGUGGGGAAUUUUGGACAAUGGGCGCAAGCCUGAUCCAGCCAUGCCGCGUGUCUGAAGAAGGCCUUCGGGUUGUAAAGGACUUUUGUCCGGGAGCAAAUACCCAGUGCUAAUAACGCUGGGGGCUGAGAGUACCGGAAGAAUAAGCACCGGCUAACUACGUGCCAGCAGCCGCGGUAAAAC